rnacentral:lncRNA from 1 species
CAAGUUGUUUUUCUGUCCAAAGACUAAAAACAAUGUUGUGCUAGGUAUCUUGUAAUGGGAAAAGCCUAAUUUUGAAUCUAUAAAGUUAAAUUUCAAGUAUUUCUAAGCAUGUAUUUAGUAAUCCUUUUGUUCUAUUUUCAGUAAAUUCUUCAGCUUCUACGAUCUCUGCCAAUAUCAAUAGCAUCCCUGUGCUUAACGGCACAAAUUUUAAGGAA